UCUCCCUCGCCUCCUGUCCCAGCUGCCAAGAGGCGCCCCACCCCGUACGACCUCGAUCCGGUGCCGCGCCGAUCUGGCUGCAGGUGCAGCAGCUUGCUCUGGUGGCGACGGGAGAAAGAGAUAUAGGGCGUGAGGGAGAGAAGAACGAGAGGAAGAAAGGAGAAGGUGAAGGGGCACAAGGUGGGGGAGGCGGUCGUUGGUGGUGGUGGUUCCGGUGACCGGCCGGCGAGCUCCUGUUGAGGCGGCGGAGCUCGGUGCGGGAUGGUUCCUCUGGAUCGAGCCUUGGCUCUCCCAAGGCAUGCGAUUGUGGGCUUGGAUCGGGGUGAUCCUUCUCCCCCGCCCUCCCCCUCCAUGGCCAACGGCCCAAGAGAAGAGAUGGCUAUUGAUGAGGCCGAGCUUGAGCCUCUAGAAUUUGCUGAGAAAAUGCACACUCAACAGGAAAUUACAACAACAGUUGCGAAGGCAGUUGGAGAGUGCUGAUUUAGAUACGAGUGUGUCAAUCUUCAGUCCGGAGCAGAUCCAAGGGAUUGUUGAGAAAUACUCCAGUUGACAUAUUUGAAGAGUGGCACCUGUUGGAACCGUCCAACUGGCUCCCGGGGCAAACAUCGCCGCCACCCCACUCUCGAUUACCACCCAAGCUGCUGGCCUCCUUGUGGUGGUGGUCUUCACCCUCUUUCAUCACCAUGAAGCAGAUCAUCGUUGUGACGUUGUCCAGCACUGGCGAGAAGGGUGGCCCGCGUCGAGACGGCCAAGGUUGGGUGGUCUGCAGGUCAGGCUCGUUGGAAUGGUGACUGGUAAGUUGGAGAGGAAUACAAAUGUGUCCUUCACCCUCGACAAUGACACUGGCUGCAUCAAUUUUUCAUCAGAUGGUGAGAACGUCUCAUUGAAUUGCACACUUUCUAAUGAAGUUUCAGAUGUAUCUUAGGGGUACAAUGUUAUACUUCUGUGCUCCCAGUGCCACUGCUGGAUGUUGACUUGGUUGUGGGAUUUGUCAAAUGCCAAUCUUAAAUAGAAAUAAGUUAGGCUGGUUGUUACGACAAUGCAGGCACCUAGCAAAACUUAGUAACUGGAAAUCUGCAAGUUCUUAAUCAUCUCUGGUUUGAUAAAAUAACUAUUUGAGAGAGAGAUAUUACAGUAAAGUUCUUAAACUUUGCGGUAGAUGGAUUUUGCGGCUUUGGAUUUUCCUCUCUCUUGAUUUUUCUAAUUAAUGUGGCUGUAGAAACUUGAGGCUGAAUUUAUUAAUUGGUGUGCACGAUUGUGCAAUUAUUUUACAAAUUCGUUGAAAGCUCCGUUGGUAGGUUUGCUUACUUGUUUUUAUUGCUUGUGUUGUUACAUCUUAGAAGAAGUUCAGAAGAACUUUAGUGUGACAUAUUUUCCAUCAUGCACAAAUGUGUGAUAGAUUUAGGACAACCAAUGUAGAGAAAAAUUAAGCGGUAAGGUCAACUCAUACAAAUUGCAGGUAUAAUGGACUAGACUGAUUACUGUUAUUUUAGCCAGCGUCAACAAAGAGAAGAGUGGCCGUGUGAUGCUUACAUUGUGGAGAUCCUGCUAUCUAUGAAAUGACAUCAUCCAUGGGCGAUGCUAAAAGUUCUAUUCAAAGCUGGGUUGAGUUCUUGGUUAAUUAUGUGAAGAUGAUUAAUGGAGACUACAAAAAGGAUUAUCUCAAGAAAUCGUUGCAGGCAUAUUUCUGCAAUCUGUAAUUCCUUUGCUAAACAUAGCAAUUGUGUAGCUCAUGAUCUUGCUUCCCUCGCUAGAGUGUCAGAUAUUUCUGAAACCUGGGUGGGCAGUAUGGUGUUAUGCAAAUGACUUUGUUAAGUAAUCCAGUAUUUAUAUAUAAGCAUAGGUUCUGUCGAAAAAAGUAUUGGCAGGAACUUACAACCAUUAAUGCACAUUAUCUGUUGGUUAAGUACUCAAAGGAGUAUGUCGAGAUUUAGAAGUUGUUUUACUGUGCACAUUAUUAAAUGGUAUUUGAUG